rnacentral:tRNA from 1 species
CAAGAAAUAGUUUAUUUAAAAUAUUAACUUUGGGAGUUAAUGAUAAAGGAGUUUCUUUUUUCUUGA